rnacentral:rRNA from 1 species
UAUCGGAACGUGCCCAGUAAUGGGGAAUAACUAGCCGAAAGGUUAGCUAAUACCGCAUACGACCUACGGGUGAAAGCAGGGGAUCUUAGGACCUUGCGUUAUUGGAGCGGCCGAUAUCUGAUUAGCUUGUUGGUGGGGUAAAAGCCUACCAAGGCAACGAUCAGUAGCUGGUCUGAGAGGACGAUCAGCCACACUGGAACUGAGACACGGUCCAGACUCCUACGGGAGGCAGCAGUGGGGAAUUUUGGACAAUGGGGGAAACCCUGAUCCAGCCAUCCCGCGUGAGUGAAGAAGGCCUUCGGGUUGUAAAGCUCUUUCGAAAGUGAAGAAAACUUAUUUCGUAAUAUGUUAUAAGUAUGACGGUAACUUUAGAAGAAGCACCGGCUAACUACGUGCCAGCAGCCGCGGUAAUACGUAGGGUGCGAGCGUUAAUCGGAAUUACUGGGCGUAAAGCGUGCGCAGGCGGUUUUGUAAGUCAGAUGUGAAAUCCCCGAGCUUAACUUGGGAACUGCGUUUGAAACUACAAGACUAGAGUGUGUCAGAGGGG